rnacentral:rRNA from 1 species
UACACAUGCAAGUCGAACGGAAAGGCCCUGCUUUUGUGGGGUGCUCGAGUAGCGAACGGGUGAGUAACACGUGAGUAACCUGCCCUUGACUUUGGGAUAACUUCAGGAAACUGGGGCUAAUACCGGAUAGGAGCUCCUGCUGCAUGGUGGGGGUUGGAAAGUUUCGGCGGUUGGGGAUGGACUCGCGGCUUAUCAGCUUGUUGGUGGGGUAGUGGCUUACCAAGGCUUUGACGGGUAGCCGGCCUGAGAGGGUGACCGGCCACAUUGGGACUGAGAUACGGCCCAGACUCCUACGGGAGGCAGCAGUGGGGAAUAUUGCACAAUGGGCGGAAGCCUGAUGCAGCAACGCCGCGUGCGGGAUGACGGCCUUCGGGUUGUAAACCGCUUUCGCCUGUGACGAAGCGUGAGUGACGGUAAUGGGUAAAGAAGCACCGGCUAACUACGUGCCAGCAGCCGCGGUGAUACGUAGGGUGCGAGCGUUGUCCGGAUUUAUUGGGCGUAAAGGGCUCGUAGGUGGUUGAUCGCGUCGGAAGUGUAAUCUUGGGGCUUAACCCUGAGCGUGCUUUCGAUACGGGUUGACUUGAGGAAGGUAGGGGAGAAUGGAAUUCCUGGUGGAGCGGUGGAAUGCGCAGAUAUCAGGAGGAACACCAGUGGCGAAGGCGGUUCUCUGGGCCUUUCCUGACGCUGAGGAGCGAAAGCGUGGGGAGCGAACAGGCUUAGAUACCCUGGUAGUCCACGCUGUAAACGGUGGGUACUAGGUGUGGGGUCCAUUCCACGGGUUCCGUGCCGUAGCUAACGCUUUAAGUACCCCGCCUGGGGAGUACGGCCGCAAGGCUAAAACUCAAAGGAAUUGACGGGGCCCCGCACAAGCGGCGGAGCAUGCGGAUUAAUUCGAUGCAACGCGUAGAACCUUACCUGGGUUUGACAUGGAUCGGGAGUGCUCAGAGAUGGGUGUGCCUCUUUUGGGGUCGGUUCACAGGUGGUGCAUGGCUGUCGUCAGCUCGUGUCGUGAGAUGUUGGGUUAAGUCCCGCAACGAGCGCAACCCUUGUUCACUGUUGCCAGCACGUUAUGGUGGGGACUCAGUGGAGACCGCCGGGGUCAACUCGGAGGAAGGUGGGGAUGACGUCAAGUCAUCAUGCCCCUUAUGUCCAGGGCUUCACGCAUGCUACAAUGGCUGGUACAGAGAGUGGCGAGCCUGUGAGGGUGAGCGAAUCUCGGAAAGCCGGUCUCAGUUCGGAUUGGGGUCUGCAACUCGACCUCAUGAAGUCGGAGUCGCUAGUAAUCGCAGAUCAGCAACGCUGCGGUGAAUACGUUCCCGGGGCUUGUACACACCGCCCGUCAAGUCAUGAAAGUUGGUAACACCCGAAGCCGGUGGCCUAACCGUUGUGGGGGAGCCGUCGAAGGUGGGACUGGUGAUUA